UAUUCGUUGCAACUCAUAGACAUAACAAAAAAUUAUAAAUUAACAAAAAAAAAGUUAACAGCAAGGCGUAAACAUGAUUUGUAAAUAUAAUUUGUAAUUCAAAAGCAAAAAAGCAGCUGGCAGUUUUGCAAAGAGUCGGAUCGGUCAUCAUCAGCUCUCUUCACUGUCCGUCCGGGAUGGAAAAGUCAGUACUUUAGUACUUUUUUCAGUACUUUUACCACCCGAAGAGUACCGUCGUACCACCGCGACCGAUUUAGUACCGUUUAAUGCACUAAGAAGUUUUUGAAACCCAUGGGUAUUCGCUUGUUAGUCGAUCAAAUCAUGUACGCCCGAAUUUGUUGACCUGCCGUAUGCAUGUUAAUGGGGCAAUAGCAGUUCUUAUUUAAUUAAAAAAUAAUCCUUAUGCACAAGUCGCCUUAUACGACUUAUUGAGCCUCUAGAAGGCUUUGGGAGAGGGGAGGGCCCCUGCCACGUGACACCCAAUUUUUAUAUCAGAAUCCCAUUCUACUCUUGAAUUUCUUUCAUUUAAGUUUCAUAUUGUACCAAUUGAUCUAUAUGUCGGUUUGUAGGGUUUUAGGUUGGGGCGUUCCACUAGAUACAUGACUCAAAAUUUAAAUAUCUGAUUUCCGUUUUUGGAUUACUACUCGUAUCAAUGUACAAGCAAAAAUUUGAAUAAUCGGUAAAGCAAUAUUUUUCCUGAGAGAAAUUUUUGAUUUCUGAUUUUUUUAUUA